GUCGAGCGGAACGAGUUAUCUGAACCUUCGGGGAACGAUAACGGCGUCGAGCGGCGGACGGGUGAGUAAUGCCUAGGAAAUUGCCCUGAUGUGGGGGAUAACCAUUGGAAACGAUGGCUAAUACCGCAUAAUGCCUACGGGCCAAAGAGGGGGACCUUCGGGCCUCUCGCGUCAGGAUAUGCCUAGGUGGGAUUAGCUAGUUGGUGAGGUAAUGGCUCACCAAGGCGACGAUCCCUAGCUGGUCUGAGAGGAUGAUCAGCCACACUGGAACUGAGACACGGUCCAGACUCCUACGGGAGGCAGCAGUGGGGAAUAUUGCACAAUGGGCGCAAGCCUGAUGCAGCCAUGCCGCGUGUGUGAAGAAGGCCUUCGGGUUGUAAAGCACUUUCAGUCGUGAGGAAGGUAGUGUAGUUAAUAGCUGCAUUAUUUGACGUUAGCGACAGAAGAAGCACCGGCUAACUCCGUGCCAGCAGCCGCGGUAAUACGGAGGGUGCGAGCGUUAAUCGGAAUUACUGGGCGUAAAGCGCAUGCAGGUGGUUUGUUAAGUCAGAUGUGAAAGCCCGGGGCUCAACCUCGGAAUUGCAUUUGAAACUGGCAGACUAGAGUACUGUAGAGGGGGGUAGAAUUUCAGGUGUAGCGGUGAAAUGCGUAGAGAUCUGAAGGAAUACCGGUGGCGAAGGCGGCCCCCUGGACAGAUACUGACACUCAGAUG
rnacentral:rRNA from 1 species